GAAAUUUGUUGAGUACAAUGUCUGAUAAAACUAUAGCAAUAAAAUAGUUGGGAAGAAAUAUUGUCUUUUUAUAUUAAAUGGUGAUGUAACAGCAUGUAUUCCCAGAAUUGCAGAGUCACAAUUUCAAGCCUUAACAAAUGAUUAGGAAGAUAAUAAAAAAUGUAACUUUUGUAUUUUUCUUCCUAUUAACUAUUCUAGAUUUUUGUUUUUCACUAAAAGUAUAAUCAAAUAGAAAGCACCCAGUGACAUGUUGCAUAUGGCUGAAGCAUAGUUAGAACACUGUGUCAUGGUGAAAAGAAAAAAGCACAUAAAUAAAAACUCCAGAGCAAGUGUUUUAGUACUCAUCAUACAAAAGGGUGUGUUUAUUUGUGUUAUGUGUGUUUGUAAGUAUUAUUCUAAAGCGUAUGUAGAGGAGUACUAUUCGUGUCUCAGUGGGUUAAGAACCUGGCUCAGUGGGAUGAAUGGUUGUGGGUUCGAUCCCUGGCCUUGCUUAGUGGGUUAAGGAUCCAUUGUUGCCUCAAGCUGCAGCGUAGGUCCCAGAUGCAACUUAGAUUCAGUGCUGCCUUGGCUGUGGCAUAGGCUUGCAGCUGCAGCUCUGAUUCAACUCUACCCUAGCCUGGGAUCUUCCAUAUGCCACAGGUGCAGCCCUAAAAUGAAAAAAGAGAGAGAGAGCUGUAUAAAUGCCUACAUGUGUAUGUGUAAGAAUAUCGACAUACAUAUACAUAUAUAUUUGUAUGUGUACAUAUAUAUCAUUCAUUUUUUCAUUCACACAGUUCAAAAACUUAGUUAACUUAUUCUGCCUUAGUGUCAUCUUUUACUGUACUACCAGUGCUCUCUAAUAAAAUUAUAAUGCGAAUAGUUAGUGCAAAAUAGUAAAAUAGUAAGUGUAAAAGGAGAAAUUAAAAAUGAAGCAUAAUCAUAUUUUAUCAAUCUACUAUAUUCAAAAAUUACUUCAAUGUGUAAUCACUGUAAAAGUUAUUAGGACAUAGUUUACACUUUUUUUUCACACUAAGUAUUGCAAAUCAGCAUAUAUUUUUUAUACUUAGAGCACAGUUCUCAAUUAGGAUUAGCAAUAUUUCAAAUAUUCAUUAACCAUAUGGGGCCAAUGGAUCCUGUAUUAGACAUCACAGCUCUGGAAUGAUUUAAGGAAUUCACUCUAAAUUGUCCCUUUAACAAAAAAGACAUAUUUUCUUCUAAGAAGGUAUAAAGGGAAAUGCAUAUAUGAUCUUUCAGUUUUUUUAUCAAAUAAACAUGUUGACAUAAUUUUACAAAAAAAUGAAUAUAUUGUAUACAGAUAGAGGUAUCUAAAGCCAUGGGCAGGCAAAGAAAGAAUUAUUUUAUGAGAAAUGUUUAAAUCACUCAUACAUUCCAAAACUAGAUUGAAAAUAUUUCAGGUGCUCAUUUUGCUCAAAGUUGGACACAGAGCAGCUUCAAAUGAAUCCAGUUAAAGAAGAAAAAAGGGGAAAAGGUGGCAGAAAAACCAGGAGACAUGAAAGCACUGAAUGACUGAAUCCAGAAUCCUCAAGUGUUUCAACAAGACUUUUAGAGAGAGGUUUGAGCUUGAGACACUGUGAAUAACACAAGUCUUUAAAGCUACAAAGAUUGCCUUCUAAAGCUGUUUAUUCCUGAAAGUGACUGGGGAAAUCGUCUGGUCAAAGGAAAACAGAACUGAAUGAGCUUCUGGCAUCUCUUGGCAUUAGGGAUACAAUUUUUUUACAGUAUUCUCUCAUGGUGGAAGGUGAAAAUAUGGGGAGAAAAAUACGUUUGGCUCCAAGAUCCAAAAAGGAAUAGAAGGUAGCAAAUUUAUUUAGAAAGGUCAAAGUUCCAACAUUGGAAGUUUGUUCGGAUGCUUCCAUCCUGAGUUUGAGCUGUCUUGGUUAAUGAAAACUUUUAAGCUACAAAAUUGGGAGCAAACUGAAGGAAGUUUCUCUCACAAAAUUGCCUCCUUGGCUUAACUCCUUGCAAUGUGUGAUGUAUUACCGAAGCAUAGUCAGGGUUUUGAUGCUUCUGUUUGUAUUACUACUUUAUAAUUGGUCAAGGUUAGACAUUUUUAAAAUUUUAUUAUUUUAUUUGGUUCUGGAGAAGUGACAGAUCAACCAACCCAAAUUAAAGAAGCUGGUGUUUCUUCUCCUUCCACUUAUAUCUCCAGAAACCCUUAAUUCAUAGCAUCGCUUCUUAAUGACAUCCUCUGCCAGAUCUGUCUUGUAUAUAAAUUUGUUUUAUAGGUUACCCUCUCAGAAGUCAGUGCUUUUAAAAAUAAUAAAAGAAUUAAAGCCAAAGUAAUUUAAUGAAAUACAAUUAUUUAAAAUAUGAGUAUGAGGAGAUGAUUUCAAAACUUGGCGUUUCUCCUACCAAUUUUCAAACUAUACAAAAUAUGCAAUCCGUCAUUCACAAUCUAAGGACUGACUCUCCAAAUUCUAGGAAGUUAAGAGAUGGUAAUGGGGUAAUGAAGCAGCAUAACAAUGACAAUGAUGAGGAAGGAAGAAGAAAAAUUCAAACAUGUUAAUUAUAUUGAAACGAUCAUAAUUGUAAUGCAUUAAAACUGUAGAUUUUAUCCUUCUAAGUAGUUGAAACCAACAAGCAUUUUACAUAGUAGUUUCUUCUAGUGAGUGCAGCCAACUCUCAUCCUUACUGUCAUCCUCUCCCAGGGAUAGUAAGAUUAAAAAUAUAGUAAAUAUAAGUCUGGUUCCAAGAAAGUUGAACAUAUACUACAUCAUGAAAGUAAUUUCACUGUAUCAAGAAAAUGUUCAUUUCCAAUUUUCCUCCAUCUUUGCGAUAGCCUACAUUUAUGUGUGUAUCACUAUAUGAUAGUGAUAGCUUUUGUGAUAGCCUACAUUUAUGUGUGUAUCACUAUAUGAUAGUGAUAGCUUUUGUGAUAGCCUACAUUUAUGUGUGUAUUGCUAUACACACAUGUAUAUGUUUUUUUGUUUUUUUGUUUUUUUUGCCUGUGGUCCUGUGAACAUUCUAUCCUUGACCCUCUGUGCUUUUCUAAAUUAGGAUAACGUUUCUGCCUCAUUGACCUUGAUGUUUUUAUGUCUGUUCCUAACUUCUUUGUAAAAUUUAUUUGCAUUACUUCUUAUUCAAAAUAUACUUCAUUUGUCUCUUUUAUUAAAUCAGACAUUAAGUAUCUGUGAAGGAAAUCAACAGUAAAGGUACUGUCAAUAUUUAGUUACUUCUGCAAAAAAAUAAAAUUUUAAACUAUAUUCCUUGUCAAAACUUCUAUUCUAAAUUUGUUAUAAACUCCACAAAUAUUUGAGUACUUGUGCAAAAAAUAAAAAUAAUGGGUACAUUUAACUGACAAUUAGUGUAUGUUUGUUUUUAACGCUUUUUGGUCUACAUAGCAACAUAAUAUAGAAACCAAACUUAUGAAAGCACCUAUCAAGGUUUGUUAAUACAAUAAUGUGUUGUUUAAAGUAAAAAAAAAAAAA
rnacentral:lncRNA from 1 species